CAUCCGCAAACUCCCGCAACCGCAACCGCAACCGCUGCGGUUAAACCAGUCAGGCCCUUAGAGCACCCGCAUCGGUGCUUCUAUAGAAGAGUCUCUAGCUAGAAAAAGUAUAGAACAAUUAAACAGUAAGAGAAAAUGACGUUAGAUAGAAAGAAUCGUCUCUAAAUGAAGGUACUUUCUAUUGUUCUAAAGAAACUAUGGAGCCAUGUGUCUUCUUCUAAUUCACAUGCUUUUAUUUUACAUUAUAAAUUUAAUUAUUCAACCAAAUUAUUAAUAUAAUUAUAUGAGAGACUCAGUAUUGAGAAAUUGACCACUAAGAGCAUCUUUAGAGCAUGAUUAUUGCAGUUUCUAAAGAAGGGUUUUAAACAAAAUAAGUCAUUUAUUUAAAUCAAAACUAAAUAAAAAGCUAAUAAGCGAUCCUUAAUACAUGAUUUUGGAGACCGAUAAUAACAAGGAUCCUUAAACCACGUGUCAGCAACUAUGAAAUUUGAUAUUUUUUUUUCUUUUUUUCUUUUCUCUUUCUUUUCUUUCUUUCCUCCUCUCUUGUCUUCUCCGUCUACUAUCUACAGCGAGGUUCAGUCGAGCCGGAUCAACAACACCCUUCCGUCGAAGGUCCUGUCAGCUCCGCCGCCGGGAACUCAGGUUAGGGUUCUCUCCGUCUGAUCUGAUGAAACGGUUCGUCGAAACCACCGGUGUCUCGCUUGUCUCCCAAGGAAUCUGGACAUAAGGAAGCCGGCGAUUCAGAUUCCGUUCUCAGCCCUAAGCUCAAGGAAUCAGAGAAGAAACUCGUCGUGGGCAACGGCCGUGGCGGCGGAUGUGAGGCUUCUCAGGUUGCAGAAGGCGGAGACAAGGGCGAAUCAACAUGUGCCCACCGACUCGUCUCGGACAGUUUUACGAAUUCUUCUCCUUCUCCCACCUUACUCCUCCGAUCCAAUGUGAGUUUCCUUCUCGCUACCUCGUCGCGUUCUGAGUCUAAUCUCGCGUACUGAUUAACGUUUCUUGAAUCUUGCAGAUAUCAGAAGGUUUGUUCGUCCAUCAAUUGAAGAUAAAGGAUUAGAUGAUCUCUUUCAAAUCGAUGUAAGGACUCUUUCUUAGUUGUUUGCUUCCGAGAAAAACUUAGGACUGAUUUGAUAUACCAUUUUGCAGAUCAAAGUUUCAAGUGGGAAGCCUAUCACGGUUGUUGCAUCAAGAACAGUUUCUUACCCAGCUGAGAAACAGCAGCUUCUUUGUCAUUCUUUAGUUGAGCUAUAUAAGCAGGCCUUUUGAUGCUGCUUAUGACGCUCUUAUGAAAGCUUUCAUUGAGCAUAAUAAAUUUGGCAACCUUCCUUAUGGCUUCCGGGCAAACACUUGGGUGGUUCCUCCGGUUGUUGCAAGCAAGUAAGCUCUGUUUAGGUUGUUCUAUCUAUUGAUUCUGUAAUGGAGUUAAUGUUCUGUUAUGUUUAUGUUGUGUCUUCUUGUUGUUGUUGUUCUGUUAUAUUUAUGUUUAUUCACUAAACUAAAGUCAUCCAUUUUCUCUCU